UCCCGCACUCUCCUCCCCUCCUGCCCACUCUUCUCUUCCCUACCCCCUCCCACUAAAACCCUAGCUGCCCCACCCACGUCGCCGCCUGCCGUCGCCCCUCAGACCUCGCUCCCAUCCCCCCUCGUCAUCCUGGAGCCCCAACAGGUCCAGCGGCACUGGUCCCUCGAGCGUCGGCGAAGAAGUUGAGAGGGAAAGAGAGAAGGAAGGAGAGGAGGGAGAAAGAGAGGAGAGGGAGGUGCUCUGGUCCCUCGAGGCGCCGCCCCCAGGAGCUCUCACCGCCUCCCAAGUACCUCCUUUCCUUCAGUGCCCCGAGUAAUUUCUUGAUCUCAUCUAUCCAUGCAGAUGCUGAGCAGAGGGCCAAACCUCAAGUGUGGAGAUGGUUGUCAUUUAUCAGGGAUGAUAAUGUAUUUGUUUCCAGGAUGCAGCAACAAGCACAAAUAACUUUGCUCGCAUGCUUCCGUCUUUUUGUUAUUCUCUCUACAUUUGUUCCAGAAAAAAAAUCCCUCUAUACACGGCUUAAGGUGGAGGCUCACACGCUCAGUGCAGGUUGUUAAAGCCCUCUUUUAUCGUUGUGCUACUGGUCAGCUUGCAGGGUGCAGCAGCCUGGAGAGAAGGCCGAUGGCACACCUAUGAAGCAACAAUAAACACGUCUGAUGCCAACAUGCCAAGAUGAGCUUCUCGCCCAAUCCCUCUUUAUGUAUAUAUGCAAGCUUGUGUGAUGUUCUCUUUCUGUAUAUAUGCAAGCUUGUGUGAUGUGCUCUGCUUCCCCCUUACUUUUCCAGUUAAUGGAUCUCUCACUGAACAGAGCAUGUUCUCUAGGUUGGUGGCAUAAAUAAUAUAGCUAAAUUAUCUUCAUCAUAAUAAUAUAAUUGUUGGCGCUGUCAAUGAUCCAUUAGACAACCCUAUGGAAUAUUUUGAUAUUUUUGUGCACCAAGGGAUUUUCAGGGAUUUCAAGGAAUAUAAUGAUUUGUGGUUGUUUUCUUAGUUAGCAGCUUUAGUUCUUGAUUAUGUUUUUCCGAACCCUGUUAAGAUGGAAAUAUACGUUGAUGCUGCCGUUGGCUCAUACCGUUGCUUCCUAAGUCAUCCAAGGUGAUAACUGAAUUCUUCGAUACCACAUAGCAGAUUCAGUAGUCCUCCUCUCCCCCUCUCACCCAUCUCUUUUGAUUUAGCCUCCUCAAAUCCUUCUCUUGCUAUGUGAAAUUCUAUUUUAUCCAUGCCUAGAUGGCGUUUGACAGAACUCCUAUCGGGAUUUUGAUAGUAGAAUGUGGUCUCGGGCUGGUGUUGCGGUUCAUCCAGCUUCAAGGGAAAAUAUCGUGCAUAAAUGUGUACUAUUCAUUAUUUAGGUCAAAUGAGUGAUACUAUCAUUUUUGUAUCGGCUUCCAGCGAGGAUGAUUUUUAUGUGCACGGUCACGAUGUCGACUCAUGUCUAAUCCUGAAGGUGAAUCUAUUUGUUUGCAAUUUAGAUGUUAUAUCAGUAUGCAAGUGAAUUUGUGGCUAAUACCAGAAUUGGUAUUUUUUCAUGUUUGUCUUCCUUUUAACCUGAUGCAUGUGCAUAAUGCUCGUUGAUGACUAUUCCUUGUUAUUUUAUCACAUGUACACAACUCUGUAGCAUGCAGAUGCUUUCUUAUUUGGCCUCCUUGGUUAGUGUUUGAUGAUUCGUUUGUCAGCAGACCCCACCCACCAGGAAGCAACCACAAGCGGCUCGGCUACUCCGGCAUCAUGGGCACCACUUUCCCCCCAAGACCAUAGGCCCGACGACGAAUCUGGCUGGCAAGCAUGGGUGCGGACCUCCAGCAACCAGUGAUUCUACCUUUCAAUUGCAUUCUUAUUUUUAUUUUCUCUGUAUAUAUACACAGUUUUCAAAUUCUAUUUGUUUGCCACUGAAGCUUAUGUUUUCCUGUGUCAGAAUUGAGUGUGUAGGAAACUUAUGGCUUAUGGCUCUCCUUGAUGACCAUCACAACAUAACCACAACCAUCUACAUGAUACCUACCGGCUAUAUACUAUGCUCAUUGUAAAUAAUCUAUUAUCAACUUACAACAAUAUAUAGCAACGCUGAAUUUCUACUUAUGCUCAUUGUAAAUUUCUUAGAACAACAGCACUGAGUUCUCUUAUAACACUAUGUCAGCACUAAAAUUAUAUUUACUUAUGGUAUGCAGUUAUCAAGUAAUGCCAUUAUUUCCUUUUAAUGAAUCAUGAUGCCAUGUAGUCAGAUAAAAGUAUAUCUAUUAGACUAUCACAUAGACUGUCACAUACACAUGCUUAUAAUGCUUGGCUUGCUAAUGUUUUUUGCGCCAUGGGCGCAACGGGUCAUCUAGUAUCGGAACUGGUCUCCACUUGUGGCUCGUCGACAGUAGCCUCUCACACAAAUUUGAGGCAUCGUUCUCUUCUUCGGAUACAUAUGGUGACAUUGCCCAAGCGCAGUAGAUGCUACAUAUGAAUUUUCCUCGAUAGAACAUGGAACACAAGUAUAGGUACAUGACCUAGCUGAUCGAUCUCGUUGGCCGGUCGGAUGCAGCUGGAUCAUUUUGAUUUGCCGGUUGCAAUAUGGACGAAACACUAAUGCACAUGUAUGCAAGAGACACAUAAUUGGUCUGUUUGAUUGCCUGCAUUAGGUUGAACCACGCCCUCAUGGGAAGAAAACAGAUUCAUUGGAAGAAAACAGAUUCAUUGGUUGCCAGCAUACACUACUCGACAUCCAUAGCAUGAAAUUUAAAGCACCUCCGGGCCUCUCUCGCGAGCUAUGCUCGAAUCAGCAUUUUCUCGCGAGUCAGGCCCGUGUGAUGCAUGUGGGCGGCGAGGGCUGCAUGCGAGAAGUCAUCCUUGAGAAGUCGCGUUGCUUCCCGAGAAGUCAUCCUUGAGAAGUCGCGUUGCUUCCCGAAGAGCUGACAGUUAUUGCCCUCACCUUUCAUCACGUCUCUCUCCCAUCUCCCCUCUCCCACUCUCAGCAAUGCAAGUAGCAGCAUGCAGUAGAUCAGAGAACAACAAGUCGACCUUUCGGCGCCUUCAUCGACAUCCAAAGUAGCACUUCGAUAAUGACAUGCCCUGUCGGAGGGAGGACAAUCACGGAGGGCCUCUACAUCAACCUUGCUGCUCCCAUGAUGUCGUGUGAUUAUUCUACCAUACACCUACGGGUCCAUAGCUAGUAUCUAGGUGGUUAUCUCUCUCUCUAUGAUGUUCAAUACAAAGUUCACCACAA